rnacentral:pre_miRNA from 1 species
AAAGUACUCCCUCCGUCCCAAAAUUCUUGUCUGAUAUUUGUUUAGAUACGAAUGUAUCUAGUCAAAUUUACUAUUUAGAUACAUCCAUUUCUAGACAAAGCGAAGACAAGAAUUUUGGGACAGAGGGAGUAUCAU